GCGGAUUCAAAUAAGGAAUUAGAUGAUUCCUCAGACUUGGAAACAGAAGAAGAGGAACCUACUGAAGGUGAUUCUGAAGAGGAAUCCGAAGAUCUUCCGAGCUCAGAUGAAGAAGAAGAAGACGAACCUAUUGAACAAGAUGAUUCGGACUCGGACGGAGAAGAAGAACCUUCUG